rnacentral:rRNA from 1 species
GACGAACGUUGGCGGCGUGCUUAACACAUGCAAGUCGAACGGAAAGGCCCUGCUUUUGUGGGGUGCUCGAGUGGCGAACGGGUGAGUAACACGUGAGUAACCUGCCCUUGACUUUGGGAUAACUUCAGGAAACUGGGGCUAAUACCGGAUAGGAGCUCCUGCUGCAUGGUGGGGGUUGGAAAGUUUCGGCGGUUGGGGAUGGACUCGCGGCUUAUCAGCUUGUUGGUGGGGUAGUGGCUUACCAAGGCUUUGACGGGUAGCCGGCCUGAGAGGGUGACCGGCCACAUUGGGACUGAGAUACGGCCCAGACUCCUACGGGAGGCAGCAGUGGGGAAUAUUGCACAAUGGGCGGAAGCCUAAUGCAGCAACGCCGCGUGCGGGAUGACGGCCUUCGGGUUGUAAACCGCUUUCGCCUGUGACGAAGCGUGAGUGACGGUAAUGGGUAAAGAAGCACCGGCUAACUACGUGCCAGCAGCCGCGGUGAUACGUAGGGUGCGAGCGUUGUCCGGAUUUAUUGGGCGUAAAGGGCUCGUAGGUGGUUGAUCGCGUCGGAAGUGUAAUCUUGGGGCUUAACCCUGAGCGUGCUUUCGAUACGGGUUGACUUGAGGAAGGUAGGGGAGAAUGGAAUUCCUGGUGGAGCGGUGGAAUGCGCAGAUAUCAGGAGGAACACCAGUGGCGAAGGCGGUUCUCUGGGCCUUUCCUGACGCUGAGGAGCGAAAGCGUGGGGAGCGAACAGGCUUAGAUACCCUGGUAGUCCACGCUGUAAACGGUGGGUACUAGGUGUGGGGUCCAUUCCACGGGUUCCGUGCCGUAGCUAACGCUUUAAGUACCCCGCCUGGGGAGUACGGCCGCAAGGCUAAAACUCAAAGGAAUUGACGGGGCCCCGCACAAGCGGCGGAGCAUGCGGAUUAAUUCGAUGCAACGCGUAGAACCUUACCUGGGUUUGACAUGGAUCGGGAGUGCUCAGAGAUGGGUGUGCCUCUUUUGGGGUCGGUUCACAGGUGGUGCAUGCCUGUCGUCAGCUCGUGUCGUGAGAUGUUGGGUUAAGUCCCGCAACGAGCGCAACCCUUGUUCACUGUUGCCAGCACGUUAUGGUGGGGACUCAGUGGAGACCGCCGGGGUCAACUCGGAGGAAGGUGGGGAUGACGUCAAGUCAUCAUGCCCCUUAUGUCCAGGGCUUCACGCAUGCUACAAUGGCUGGUACAGAGAGUGGCGAGCCUGUGAGGGUGAGCGAAUCUCGGAAAGCCGGUCUCAGUUCGGAUUGGGGUCUGCAACUCGACCUCAUGAAGUCGGAGUCGCUAGUAAUCGCAGAUCAGCAACGCUGCGGUGAAUACGUUCCCGGG